rnacentral:rRNA from 1 species
UACAGAGGGGGCAAGCGUUGUUCGGAAUUACUGGGCGUAAAGGGCGCGUAGGCGGCCUGCUAAGUCGAACGUGAAAUUCCUGGGCUCAACCCAGGAACUGCGUCCGAUACUGGUUGGCUUGAAUCCGGGAGAGGGAUGUGGAAUUCCAGGUGUAGCGGUGAAAUGCGUAGAUAUCUGGAGGAACACCGGUGGCGAAGGCGACAUCCUGGACCGGCAUUGACGCUGAGGCGCGAAAGCCAGGGGAGCAAACGGG